CAGCCUGAUGCAGCCAUGCCGCGUGUGUGAAGAAGGCCUUCGGGUUGUAAAGCACUUUCAGUCAGGAGGAAAGGUUAGUAGUUAAUACCUGCUAGCUGUGACGUUACUGACAGAAGAAGCACCGGCUAACUCCGUGCCAGCAGCCGCGGUAAUACGGAGGGUGCGAGCGUUAAUCGGAAUUACUGGGCGUAAAGCGUACGCAGGCGGUUUGUUAAGCGAGAUGUGAAAGCCCCGGGCUCAACCUGGGAACUGCAUUUCGAACUGGCAAACUAGAGUGUGAUAGAGGGUGGUAGAAUUUCAGGUGUAGCGGUGAAAUGCGUAGAGAUCUGAAGGAAUACCGAUGGCGAAGGCAGCCACCUGGGUCAACACUGACGCUCAUGUACGAAAGCGUGGGGAGCAAACAGGAUUAGAUACCCUGGUAGUCCACGCCGUAAACGAUGUCUACUAGAAGCUCGGAGCCUCGGCUCUGUUUUUCAAAGCUAACGCAUUAAGUAGACCGCCUGGGGAGUACGGCCGCAAGGUUAAAACUCAAAUG
rnacentral:rRNA from 1 species